rnacentral:rRNA from 1 species
AAAUGAAAACGACUCUCGGCAACGGAUAUCUCGGCUCUCGCAUCGAUGAAAAACGUAGAAAAAUGUGAUACUUGGUGUGAAUUGCAGAAUCCCGUGAACCAUCGAGUCUUUGAACGCAAGUUGCGCUCGAAGCCAUUAGGCCUAGGGCACGUCUACCUGGGCAUCACGCUUCGCGUUGCCCCCUCUCAUCGCACCUCAAUCACGGGGCGUGCUGUCAUAGCGGGGUGGAUACUAGCCUCUCGUGCGCCUCGAGCUAGCGGUUGGCCUAAAUGUGAGUCCACAUCGACGGAUGUCGCGGCAAGUGGUGGUUGCAACUCAACUAUCUUUGCCGUUGCGGCUACGGCCCAUCGUGCGUUCGGACUCCAGGACCCCUUCGCGCUCAGGCACUCUGACUGUGACCCCAGGUCAGGCGGAAUUACCCGCUGAGUUUAAGCAUAUCAAUAAGUAGAGGAAAAAAAACUUACAAGGAUUCUCUUAGUAACGGCGAGCGAACCGGGAACAGCCCAGCCUUAGAAUAAGGCGGCUCCAUCGUCCGAAUUGUAGUCUGGAGAAGUGUCCUCAGCGGCGGACCAGGCCCAAGUCCACUGGAAAGGGGCACCAGAGAGGGUGAGAGCCCCGUUGUGCCCGGACCCUGUCGCACCAUGUGGCGCUGUCUACGAGUCGGGUUGAUUGGGAAUGCAGCCCAAAUCGGGCGGUGAAUUCUGUCCUAGGCUAAAUACAGGCGUGAAACCGAUAACGAACAAGUACCGCCAGGGAAAAAUGAAAAGGAAUUUGAAAAUAGAGUCAAAAAGUGCUUAAAAUUGUCGGGAGAGAAGCGGAUGGGGGCAAGCAAUGCACCCCAGUCGGAUGUGGAACGGCGAUGAGCCGGUCCGUCGAUCCACUCGAGGCAUGGACCAGCAUGGAUUUGGGGGGUGGCCAAAGCUCGGGCUCUCGAUACGCUCAUGGAACGCCAUCUCCUCGAUUGUGGAAGGCAGCGCGCGACUCCGGCGUGCUUCGGCAUCUGCGCGCUCCGAACACUGGCCUGUGGGCUCCCCAUUCGACCCGUAUUGAAACACCGACCAAGGAGUUGACAUAUGUGCGAGUCAACGGGUGAUUAAACCCAUAAAGCGCUAGGAAGCUGAUUGGUGGGAUCCCCUCGAGGGGUGCACCGCCGACCGACCUUGGUUUUCUGAGAAGGGUUCGAGUGUGAGCAUACCUGUCGGGACCCGAAAGAUGGUGAACUAUGCCUGAGCGGGGCGAAGCCAGAGAAAACUCUGGUGGAGGCCCGUCUAGUAGCUGGUUCCCUCCGAAGUUUCCCUCAGGAUAGCUGGAGCUCGAGUGUGAGUUCUAUCGGGUAAAUCCAAUGAUUAGAGGCCUCGGGGGCGCAAUGCCUUCGACCUAUUCACACACUUUAAAUAGGUAGGACGACAUGACUGCUUGGUUGAGCCGCGCCAUGGAAUCAACAGCUCUAAGUGGACCAUUUUUGGUACGCAGAACUGGCGAUGCAGGAUGAACCGAAAGCUGGGUUACGGUGCCAAACUGCGUGCUAACCUAGAUCCCACAAAGGGUGUUGGUCGAUUAAGACAGUAGGACGGUGGUCAUGUAAGACAAAAUCCACUAAGGAGUGUGUAACAACUCACCUUCCGAAUCAACUAGCCCUAAAAAUAGAUGGCGCUUAAGUGCACGACCUACACCCGGUCGUCGGGGCAAGUGGCAGGCCCCGAUGAGUAGGAGGGUGCGGCGGUCGCUGCAAAACCUUGGGCGCGAGCACGGGCUCGAGCAGCCAUCGGUGCAGAUCUUGGUGGUAGUAGAAAAUAUUCAAAUGAGAAAUUUGAAGGCCAAAGAGGGGAAAGGUUCCAUGUGAACGGCACUUGCACAUGGGUUAUUUGAUCCUAAGGGUCGAGCGAACCUCGACAGACAGCGCGUUUCGUGAGUGAUCUGAAAGGGAAUCGGGUUAAAAUUCCUGAACCGGGAUGUGGCAGUCGACGACAACGUUAGUAAUUUCAGAGACAUCGGCGGGAGACUCGGGAAGAGUUAUCUUUUCUAUUUAACAGCCUGCCUACCCUGGAAUCGGCUCAGCCAGAGGUAGGGUCCAGCGGCUCGAAGAGCACCGCACGUCACUUGGUGUUUGGUGCGCACCAGGCAGCAUUUAAAACUUCGGAAGACCGAAUGCCGUCCACGCUCAGUCGUACUCAUAACUGUGUUAGGUCUCCAAGGUAAACAACCUCUGGUCGAUAGAACAAUGUAGGCAAGGGAAGUUGUCAAAAUGGAUCCGUAACUUUGGGAAAAGUAUUGGCUCUGAGGGCUGGGAAUGGGGGUCCCAGUCCCGAACCCGCCGGCUGUCGGUGGACUGCUCGAGCUGCUACCACAAUGAGAGCGGGUCGUCGUGUGUCGGCCGAGGGACGGACUGGAAACGGUUCGUUCGGGGGCCUUCCCAGCGCGUCGAACAGCCAACUCAGAACUGGUACAGACAAGGGGAAUCCAACUAUUUAAUUAAAACAAAGCAUUGCGAUGGUCCUAA